AUACGUAGGUGGCAAGCGUUGUCCGGAUUUAUUGGGUUUAAAGGGAGCGUAGGCGGGAGCUUAAGUCAGCGGUUAAAUGGUGCGGCUCAACCGUGCCCUGCCGUUGAAACUGGGUUUCUUGAGAGUGCAAGAGGCGGAUGGAAUUCAUGGUGUAGCGGGGAAAUGCUUAGAUAUCAUGAAGAACUCCGAUUGCGAAGGCAGUCCGCUGGGGCACGUCUGACGCUGAUGCUCGAAGGUGCGGGAAUCAAACAGGAUUAGAUACCCUGGUAGUCCGCACGGUAAACGAUGAUUACCCGCUGUCGGCGGUAGACAGUCGGCGGCCAAGCGAAAGCGAUAAGUAAUCCACCUGGGGAGUACGCCGGCAACGGUGAAACUCAAAUGAAUUGACGGGG
rnacentral:rRNA from 1 species